rfam:Dipodomys ordii contig_66424, whole genome shotgun sequence.
GGUGGCUCAGUGGUAGAGUGCUUGCCUCGCAUGCAUGAGGCCCUAGGUUCAAUUCCUUAACACCA